AUAAUGGGUCAGCGACUUAUAUUCUGUAGCAAGGUUAACCGAAUAGGGGAGCCGAAGGGAAACCGAGUCUUAACUGGGCGUUAAGUUGCAGGGUAUAGACCCGAAACCCGGUGAUCUAGCCAUGGGCAGGUUGAAGGUUGGGUAACACUAACUGGAGGACCGAACCGACUAAUGUUGAAAAAUUAGCGGAUGACUUGUGGCUGGGGGUGAAAGGCCAAUCAAACCGGGAGAUAGCUGGUUCUCCCCGAAAGCUAUUUAGGUAGCGCCUCGUGAAUUCAUCUCCGGGGGUAGAGCACUGUUUCGGCAAGGGGGUCAUCCCGACUUACCAACCCGAUGCAAACUGCGAAUACCGGAGAAUGUUAUCACGGGAGACACACGGCGGGUGCUAACGUCCGUCGUGAAGAGGGAAACAACCCAGACCGCCAGCUAAGGUCCCAAAGUCAUGGUUAAGUGGGAAACGAUGUGGGAAGGCCCAGACAGCCAGGAUGUUGGCUUAGAAGCAGCCAUCAUUUAAAGAAAGCGUAAUAGCUCACUGGUCGAGUCGGCCUGCGCGGAAGAUGUAACGGGGCUAAACCAUGCACCGAAGCUGCGGCAGCGACGCUUAUGCGUUGUUGGGUAGGGGAGCGUUCUGUAAGCCUGCGAAGGUGUGCUGUGAGGCAUGCUGGAGGUAUCAGAAGUGCGAAUGCUGACAUAAGUAACGAUAAAGCGGGUGAAAAGCCCGCUCGCCGGAAGACCAAGGGUUCCUGUCCAACGUUAAUCGGGGCAGGGUGAGUCGACCCCUAAGGCGAGGCCGAAAGGCGUAGUCGAUGGGAAACAGGUUAAUAUUCCUGUACUUGGUGUUACUGCGAAGGGGGGACGGAGAAGGCUAUGUUGGCCGGGCGACGGUUGUCCCGGUUUAAGCGUGUAGGCUGGUUUUCCAGGCAAAUCCGGAAAAUCAAGGCUGAGGCGUGAUGACGAGGCACUACGGUGCUGAAGCAACAAAUGCCCUGCUUCCAGGAAAAGCCUCUAAGCAUCAGGUAACAUCAAAUCGUACCCCAAACCGACACAGGUGGUCAGGUAGAGAAUACCAAGGCGCUUGAGAGAACUCGGGUGAAGGAACUAGGCAAAAUGGUGCCGUAACUUCGG
rnacentral:rRNA from 1 species